CAGUGGGGAAUUUUGGACAAUGGGGGCAACCCUGAUCCAGCAAUGCCGCGUGAGUGAAGAAGGCCUUCGGGUUGUAAAGCUCUUUUGUUAGGGAAGAAACGGUUGGAGCUAAUACCUUCGACUAAUGACGGUACCUGAAGAAUAAGCACCGGCUAACUACGUGCCAGCAGUCGCGGUAAUACGUAGGGUGUAAGCGUUCAUCGGAAUUACUGGGCGUAAAGCGUGCGCAGGCGGUUUUGUAAGACUGUCGGGAAAUCCCCGGGCUUAACCUGGGAAUGGCGAUGGUGAUUGCAAGGCUAGAGUUUGGCAGAGGGGGGUAGAAUUCCACGUGUAGCAGUGAAAUGCGUAGAGAUGUGGAGGAACACCGAUGGCGAAGGCAGUUUUUUGGGUCAAAACUGACGCUCAUGCACGAAAGCGUGGGGAGCAAACAGGAUUAGA
rnacentral:rRNA from 1 species